AGCUCCGCGUCGUUGCUGCUUCCGGUCCGCACAAUGAAGCGCUACUUCAUUCCUCCCGCGGUGACCGUGAAAGAGAAAAGCCAGAGCGAGCAGGAGACUAAAGCCCGGGCAGCGGGGGUGGUGGUCCGGCAACAGUACAUAGAGAGAGCCAUCUCAUGCACCGGAUUCAACAGACUGUUUUGAUUCCUGGUCCUAUGCUGAAGCCCGAGGAGGAGUUCGAGGAUCUGCAUUACCAGACACCCAAGAAAACCAAUGGACUACUUCCACCGGUCGAAACUGACAUCACUCACCCACAGCCAUCAUGUAGUCCCACCGGUCCAGGUCACACACCCUGAAGCCUUGUCCUUCUGAGGUGGAGGAAAUGAUCAGAAGUGGAACAUUUCGGUCUCGAUUCUGCAGGACGCCCGCUGUCCAUGCACACAGGAACCAGCUGACAGGGGCCGUGAUGAUUUCAUCUGUAGUCCAAUAAUCUGAAAAGAAGAUUUGAUUCACACACUCACCGGGAAGUAAAGCAACAGAGAGCCACACAAGAUCAUCUCCAGCAGCAAAAGCCCGGAUGAUCGGAUCCGCUGAGAGAUAGAAAGACGGAGAUCGGAAGCAGAGCAUGCUGAGAAGAACAAGGACCAUGAAGAGGCCCUGCACAGCCAGGACGGCUGUCCUCAGGAGCCAGUCUUCCUGCACCCAACACGGGACCCCAUCCUCACACUCAUCACAGCCGGGCCAACAGGGCAGACACACAGGGACUUCUGGGUAACAAGCUCGGUAGCCCUUCUUACAUCGGCAGCAGUACUGACCCAUCCGGAAGCCCUGCUGCGGGAUGGACUCGCACUGAGAGGAUGAGAAAGAAAGAGACACAAAGUCAUGAGUCUGCUCAAAUGUGUAUAUGAAAAGCUUUGUAAGAAAAUAUCUUGCUCUCAGAAAGGGGAACUCCACCCUGAUGUUUCUGCCAGCAAUUGUUUGAUUGUGUUCUCUCUGCUUUCUGCCAUUAAUUGCAUGUGCAGUCUCUCAUCAGCGGUUUAUCGGCGAGAGUCGGCUGACCCACACAUCAGACUCACUCUUGAGUUAAUCUAAGCUAAAUCCUAAAUGGAGGGGUAAUGCCUCCAGUGACAGAGCUUUAUCUUUUUUAUUCAUGCAAAUCCAGCUCUGUUCACAUACAAGAUUUAUGUUAUAUUCUUUAUGUAAUUCUACCAUUAUUUAAUAAGGUGAGUCACUUAAGAAUAAGAAUCUUAAUUAUAAUCAGAUAUUAUUCUUGUGAAGAGCAGCAAUUAGGAAUAAAUGCAAAUAUAUAUAAUUUCUGUGUGCCUCUUAUAAAUCUCUAUUUGUUGAUUUUUAAAAAAGGAGUUAUAUUUUGCAUAUAUGUACUUUUUACAGUGAUUGACUCGUGAGAAUUUAUUCCAAUUGUUUAGACUUUCUUAUUAAUUUAAUUUUGUUAAAGAGAUUAAAAAUUAACAUUGUCGUAAUUUCCUAAGCACCAA